UACAGAGGUGGCAAGCGUUGUUCGGAAUUACUGGGCGUAAAGGGCGCGUAGGCGGCCAUCUAAGUCAGACGUGAAAUCCCCAGGCUCAACCUGGGAACUGCGUCCGAUACUGGCAGGCUUGAAUCCGGGAGAGGGAUGUGGAAUUCCAGGUGUAGCGGUGAAAUGCGUAGAUAUCUGGAGGAACACCGGUGGCGAAGGCGGCAUCCUGGACCGGUAUUGACGCUGAGGCGCGAAAGCUAGGGUAGCAAACGGG
rnacentral:rRNA from 1 species